rnacentral:rRNA from 1 species
GGGGGGGGGGGGGGGGGGGGGGGGGGGGGGCGGGUCGGGGGGCCGGCGGAGGGGCUUGGUCCUCUGGCGUUAGCGGCGGCCGGGUGAGUAACACGUUGCUCACCUGCACAUAAGGCUUGGAUCACUUCGGGUACCCGGAGCUAGUACCGGCUCAUAUAUUGACCCGCAUGGUUCCAUAGUGACAGACUGUUUUGCUGUCACUUAUAUCUUGCUCCGCGCCGCAUUAGCUAGUUGGUAAGGUACCGGCUUACCAAGGCAACGAUGCGUAGACGACCUGAGAGGGUGAUCGGCCACACUGGAACUGAGACACGGUACAGACUCCUACGGGAGGCAGAAGUAGGGAAUCUUCCGCAAUGGGCGAAAGCCUGACGGAGCAACGCCGCGUGAGUGAGGAAGGUCUUCGGAUCGUAAAACUCUGUUAUUAGGGAAGAACAAAUGUGUAAGUAACUAUGCACGUCUUGACGGUACCUAAUCAGAAAGCCACGGCUAACUACGUG